UACGGAGGGUGCAAGCGUUGUUCGGAAUUACUGGGCGUAAAGCGCGUGUAGGCGGUUUGGUAAGUCGGGUGUGAAAGCCCUGAGCUUAACUCAGGAAGUGCAUUCGAAACUGCCAUACUCGAGUAUGGGAGAGGAGAGUGGAAUUCCCAGUGUAGAGGUGAAAUUCGUAGAUAUUGGGAGGAACACCCGUGGCGAAGGCGACUCUCUGGACCAAUACUGACGCUGAGACGCGAAAGCGUGGGGAG
rnacentral:rRNA from 1 species